AGCAGUAGCCGCGGGAAUACGAAGGGUGCAAGCGUUACUCGGAAUUACUGGGCGUAAAGCGUGCGUAGGUGGUGGUUUAAGUCCGUUGUGAAAGCCCUGGGCUCAACCUGGGAAUUGCAGUGGAUACUGGGUCACUAGAGUGUGGUAGAGGAUAGUGGAAUUUCCGGUGUAGCAGUGAAAUGCGUAGAGAUCGGAAGGAACAUCUGUGGCGAAGGCGACUAUCUGGGCCAACACUGACACUGAGGCACGAAAGCGUGGGGAGCAAACAGGAUUAGAUACCCGGUAGUCCCUGUCUCUUAUACA
rnacentral:rRNA from 1 species